AGUGAACGCUGGCGGUAGGCCUAACACAUGCAAGUCGAACGGCAGCACAGAGGAGCUUGCUCCUUGGGUGGCGAGUGGCGGACGGGUGAGGAAUACAUCGGAAUCUACUCUGUCGUGGGGGAUAACCUAGGGAAACUUACGCUAAUACCGCAUACGACCUACGGGUGAAAGCAGGGGACCUUCGGGCCUUGCGCGAUUGAAUGAGCCGAUGUCGGAUUAGCUAGUUGGCGGGGUAAAGGCCCACCAAGGCGACGAUCCGUAGCUGGUCUGAGAGGAUGAUCAGCCACACUGGAACUGAGACACGGUCCAGACUCCUACGGGAGGCAGCAGUGGGGAAUAUUGGACAAUGGGCGCAAGCCUGAUCCAGCCAUACCGCGUGGGUGAAGAAGGCCUUCGGGUUGUAAAGCCCUUUUGUUGGGAAAGAAAUCCAGCUGGCUAAUACCCGGUUGGGAUGACGGUACCCAAAGAAUAAGCACCGGCUAACCUCGUGCCAGCAGCCGCGUAA
rnacentral:rRNA from 1 species